rnacentral:rRNA from 1 species
GAUGAACGCUGGCGGCGUGCCUAAUACAUGCAAGUCGAGCGAACAGAUGAGGAGCUUGCUCCUCUGACGUUAGCGGCGGACGGGUGAGUAACACGUGGAUAACCUACCUAUAAGACUGGGAUAACUUCGGGAAACCGGAGCUAAUACCGGAUAAUAUAUUGAACCGCAUGGUUCAAUAGUGAAAGACGGUUUUGCUGUCACUUAUAGAUGGAUCCGCGCCGCAUUAGCUAGUUGGUAAGGUAACGGCUUACCAAGGCAACGAUGCGUAGCCGACCUGAGAGGGUGAUCGGCCACACUGGAACUGAGACACGGUCCAGACUCCUACGGGAGGCAGCAGUAGGGAAUCUUCCGCAAUGGGCGAAAGCUUGACGGAGCAACGCCGCGUGAGUGAUGAAGGUCUUCGGAUCGUAAAACUCUGUUAUUAGGGAAGAACAAAUGUGUAAGUAACUAUGCACGUCUUGACGGUACCUAAUCAGAAAGCCACGGCUAACUACGCG